GACGAACGCUGGCGGCGUGCUUAACACAUGCAAGUCGAACGGAAAGGCACUGCCUUUGUGGGGUGCUCGAGUGGCGAACGGGUGAGUAACACGUGAGUAACCUGCCCCUGACUUUGGGAUAACUUCAGGAAACUGUGGCUAAUACCGGAUAUGAGCUCCUGCUGCAUGGUGGGGGUUGGAAAGUUUCGGCGGUUGGGGAUGGACUCGCGGCUUAUCAGCUUGUUGGUGGGGUAGUGGCUUACCAAGGCUUGGACGGGUAGCCGGCCUGAGAGGGUGACCGGCCACAUUGGGACUGAGAUACGGCCCAGACUCCUACGGGAGGCAGCAGUGGGGAAUAUUGCACAAUGGGCGGAAGCCUGAUGCAGCAACGCCGCGUGCGGGAUGACGGCCUUCGGGUUGUAAACCGCUUUCGCCUGGGACGAAGCGAGAGUGACGGUAAUGGGUAAAGAAGCGCCGGCUAACUACGUG
rnacentral:rRNA from 1 species